rnacentral:rRNA from 1 species
CUACGGGUGGCUGCAGUGAGGAAUAUUGCACAAUGGGGGGAACCCUGAUGCAGCAACGCCGCGUGGAGGAUAACGCAUUUCGGUGUGUAAACUCCUUUUAUAUGUCAAGAAAAUGACGGUAGCAUAUGAAUAAGCACCGGCUAACUCCGUGCCAGCAGCCGCGGUAAUACGGAGGGUGCAAGCGUUACUCGGAAUCACUGGGCGUAAAGGACGCGUAGGCGGGCUUGUAAGUCAGGUGUGAAAUCCUACAGCUUAACUGUAGAACUGCACUUGAAACUACGAGCCUAGAGUAUGGGAGGGGGAGAUGGAAUUAGUGGUGUAGGGGUAAAAUCCGUAGAUAUCACUAGGAAUACCUAAAGCGAAGGCGAUCUCCUGGAACAUAACUGACGCUAAGGCGUGAAAGCGUGGGGUGCAAACAGGAUUAGAUACCCUAGUAGUC